GGGGUUGUAGGACCACGACAUUUGGUGCUUUAUGAAUAAGAACACGUUGGAAAGCGUGGCCAUAGACGGUGAUAGCCCGGUAUUAGUAAAGACAGUUACCGAUAGUGGUAUCCUGAGUAGUGCGGGGCACGUGAAACCCUGUAUGAAUCUGGCGGGACCAUCCGCCAAGGCUAAAUACUCCUGAGAGACCGAUAGUGAACCAGUACCGUGAGGGAAAGGUGAAAAGAACCGUGAAUAACGGAGUGAAAUAGAUCCUGAAACCAUACGCUUACAAGCGGUCGGAGCCAAUUUAUUGGUGACGGCGUGCCUUUUGCAUAAUGAGCCUACGAGUUACUGUUGCCAGCGAGGUUAAAAUUUUAAGAAUUGGAGCCGCAGCGAAAGCGAGUCUGAAUAGGGCGUUUUAGUUGGUAGUAGUAGACGCGAAACCGUGUGAUCUACCCUUGGGCAGGUUGAAGUUUAGGUAACACUAAAUGGAGGACCGAACCCGUUGACGUUGAAAAGUCUUGGGAUGACCUGAGGGUAGGGGUGAAAGGCCAAUCAAACUCGGAAAUAGCUCGUACUCCCCGAAAUGCAUUUAGGUGCAGCGUUGAUAUAUAGUUUUAUAGAGGUAGAGCUACUGAUUGGAUGCGGGGGCUUCACCGCCUACCAAUUCCUGACAAACUCCGAAUGCUAUAAAAUGAUGAUCAGCAGUGAGGGCAUGGGUGCUAAGGUCCAUGUCCGAGAGGGAAAGAACCCAGACCAUCAGCUAAGGUCCCCAAAUGUAUGUUAAGUUGAAAAAACGCGGUCGGACUGCAUAGACAGCCAGGAUGUUGGCUUGGAAGCAGCCAUUCAUUUAAAGAGUGCGUAACAGCUCACUGGUCGAGCGGUCCGGCAUGGAUAAUAAUCGGGCAUAAACAUACUACCGAAGCUAUGGACUUAAUUUAUUAAGUGGUAGGGGAGCAUUCUGUUUGCGUUGAAGGUGUACUGUGAGGUAUGCUGGAGCGUACAGAAAAGAAAAUGUAGGCAUAAGUAACGAUAAUGCGGGCGAGAAACCCGCACUCCGAAAGACCAAGGUUUCCUCAGCUAUGCUAAUCAGCUGAGGGUUAGUCGGGGCCUAACGCGAACCCGAAAGGGGUAGUGGAUGGACAACAGGUUAAUAUUCCUGUACCUGCUCACGUUAAAAGUGACGGAGGCGUAAAUUUGGUGCGUGCUGACGGAAUAGCACGUUGAAGCCAGUGGUAACACGGCGAUAGUACACUGAGG
rnacentral:ncRNA from 1 species